rnacentral:rRNA from 1 species
UACGUAGGCAGCGAGCGUUGUUCGGAAUUACUGGGCGUAAAGAGUGUGUAGGCGGUGCUCUAAGUUCGGUGUGAAAUCUCCCGGCUUAACUGGGAGGGUGCGCCGGAAACUGGAGUGCUCGAGCGUGGGAGAGGAAAGCGGAAUUCCUGGUGUAGCGGCGAAAUGCGUAGAUAUCAGGAGGAACACCGGUGGUGUAAACGGCUUUCUGGACCAUAACUGACGCUGAGGCACGAAAGCGUGGGUAGCAAACAGG